rnacentral:rRNA from 1 species
AUUGAACGCUGGCGGCAGGCCUAACACAUGCAAGUCGAGCGGAUGAGGGUAGCUUGCUACCUGAUUCAGCGGCGGACGGGUGAGUAAUGCCUAGGAAUCUGCCUGGUAGUGGGGGACAACGUUUCGAAAGGAACGCUAAUACCGCAUACGUCCUACGGGAGAAAGUGGGGGAUCUUCGGACCUCACGCUAUCAGAUGAGCCUAGGUCGGAUUAGCUAGUUGGUGGGGUAAAGGCUCACCAAGGCGACGAUCCGUAACUGGUCUGAGAGGAUGAUCAGUCACACUGGAACUGAGACACGGUCCAGACUCCUACGGGAGGCAGCAGUGGGGAAUAUUGGACAAUGGGCGCAAGCCUGAUCUAGCCAUGCCGCGUGUGUGAAGAAGGUCUUCGGAUUGUAAAGCACUUUAAGUUGGGAGGAAGGGCAGUAAGUUAAUACCUUGCUGUUUUGACGUUACCGACAGAAUAAGCACCGGCUAACUCUGUGCCAGCACG